AUUGAACGCUGGCGGAAUGCUUUACACAUGCAAGUCGAACGGCAGCACGGACUUCGGUCUGGUGGCGAGUGGCGAACGGGUGAGUAAUGUAUCGGAACGUGCCCAGUCGCGGGGGAUAACGUAGUGAAAAUUACGCUAAUACCGCAUACGAGCUAUGGAUGAAAGCGGGGGAUCGCAAGACCUCGCGCGAUUGGAGCGGCCGAUAUCAGAUUAGGUAGUUGGUGGGGUAAAGGCCCACCAAGCCAACGAUCUGUAGCGGGUCUGAGAGGACGACCAGCCACACUGGAACUGAGACACGGUCCAGACUCCUACGGGAGGCAGCAGUGGGGAAUUUUGGACAAUGGGCGAAAGCCUGAUCCAGCCAUUCCGCGUGCAGGAUGAAGGCCCUCGGGUUGUAAACUGCUUUUGUACAGAACGAAAAGGUUUCUACUAAUACUAGGAGCUCAUGACGGUACUGUAAGAAUAAGCACCGGCUAACUACGUGCCAGCCGCCGCCGUAA
rnacentral:rRNA from 1 species